GGAUGAAUCCGCAAAUGAGUACAGAACCGUCACGAUCAAUCUAAGAGCCCUGCCUCCGAGCACAUGAGCGUUUGGGGGGCCAUCCUAGAUCUAAACCCUAACAUCGCCUCUCAGCUGCAUGAUGGUGGUCUUCUGUUGGACAUUUUACCUGCCUGACACAAAGCACAGACAAGAAUCAUCCAUUCGGUCUGGUACUGCUCUGGGUGCUUGGUUGACGUCAAUGAACAAAAGAGAAAAAGAGUCCAUCCUUGAUGAUCUAUCACUUUGGAAGGAAGAGAUUAACAAUACCUGCUAGAGAGAUGAACCCCACCUCCCAGAAGUUCUGCCACCUCCCAGUUGCAUCCCAGGCUGGCAACACACGCCUCUGGGGGACAUUCAAGAUUCACGCUAUAUCACCUGAUCUCCCUGGCAUCUCCGCUCUUCCCUCGACAAUAACCCCAAAUUGCACUGAUAUGAGCUGGAAAAAGGUGAGCAGGCCUCCUCUGCCAUGUGCUCCACCCACAGUGUCCUGUGCUGCCACAGGUCCAAAGCAAUAGGACCAAGGAACCAUAGACUGAAACCUUGGAAACCAGAAGACAAAAUGAAGCAUUUUGUCACAGUGCUGGGAAGUGGACACAAGUACCUAUAUAAGGUGAUGGACAUGUUCAGUAGCCCGAUCAGGGUGACCAUUCCUAUAGAGAGAG
ensembl:lncRNA